rnacentral:rRNA from 1 species
AAGCCUGACGGAGCACGCCGCGUGAGUGAUGAAGGGUUUCGGCUCGUAAAACUCUGUUAUUAGGGAAGAACAAAUGUGUAAGUAACUGUGCACAUCUUGACGGUACCUAAUCAGAAAGCCACGGCUAACUACGUGCCAGCAGCCGCGGUAAUACGUAGGUGGCAAGCGUUAUCCGGAAUUAUUGGGCGUAAAGCGCGCGUAGGCGGUUUCUUAAGUCUGAUGUGAAAGCCCACGGCUCAACCGUGGAGGGUCAUUGGAAACUGGGAAACUUGAGUGCAGAAGAGGAAAGUGGAAUUCCAUGUGUAGCGGUGAAAUGCGCAGAGAUAUGGAGGAACACCAGUGGCGAAGGCGACUUUCUGGUCUGUAACUGACGCUGAUGUGCGAAAGCGUGGGGAUCAAACAGGAUUAGAUACCCUGGUAGUCCACGCCGUAAACGAUGAGUGCUAAGUGUUAGGGGGUUUCCGCCCCUUAGUGCUGCAGCUAACGCAUUAAGCACUCCGCCUGGGGAGUACGACCGCAAGGUUGAAAACUCAAAGGAAUUGACGGGGACCCGCACAAGCGGUGGAGCAUGUGGUUUAAUUCGAAGCAACGCGAAGAACCUUACCAAAUCUUGACAUCCUUUGAAAACUCUAGAGAUAG